rnacentral:tRNA from 1 species
AAUUUUAUAGUUUAUUUAAAACAAUAGAUUGCAAGUCUAAUAAAAUAUACAUAUAUUAUAUUAAAAUUU